UUAAUUGAAACCAAAUCUUGAGGUAUACCACUGUUAAUGGUAUUACUGGAAUAAAUUCCCAAUUAAA
rnacentral:tRNA from 1 species